ACAGUCUGAAAAUUACCUCAGAUAUACCAGUUGUCUGGGGUGAGAUAACCGUGCCAACAGUAUUUUGGUACAUUAAGCUUAUUGCCUGCUCUGUAUAGCAAGGUGAUUAAACCCAUGUGCCCACAUUA
ensembl:snoRNA small nucleolar RNA ACA64